rnacentral:rRNA from 1 species
AGACUAACAGGAUUCCCCUAGUAACUGCGAGUGAAGCGGGAAAAGCUCAAAUUUAAAAUCUGGUGGUCUUUGGCCAUCCGAGUUGUAAUUUAGAGAAGCGUCUUCCGCGCUGGGCCGUGCACAAGUCUCCUGGAAUGGAGCGUCACAGAGGGUGAGAAUCCCGUCUUUGGCAUGGACACACCAGGGCUUUUGUGAUGCGCUCUCGAAGAGUCGAGUUGUUUGGGAAUGCAGCUCAAAAUGGGUGGUGAACUCCAUCUAAAGCUAAAUAUUGGCGAGAGACCGAUAGCGAACAAGUACCGUGAGGGAAAGAUGAAAAGCACUUUGGAAAGAGAGUGAAACAGUACGUGAAAUUGUUGAAAGGGAAACGCUUGAAGUCAGUCGCGUCGACCGAGACUCAGCCUUGCCUUGGCUUGGUGUACUUCUCGGCCGACGGGUCAGCAUCAAUUUUGCCCCUUGGAUAAUGAUGAGGGAAACGUGACACCUUUAUGGUGUGUUAUAGUCUCUCGUCGCAUGCAAGGGUCGGGAUUGAGGAACUCAGCACGCACCUUUGGGUGUCGGGGCUUUGCCCACGAUACGUGCUUAGGAUGUUGGCGUAAUGGCUUUAAACGACCCGUCUUGAAACACGGACCAAGGAGUCUAACAUGCCUGCGAGUGUUCGGGUGGAAAACCCGUGCGCGUAAUGAAAGUAAAAGUUGGGACCUCUGUCGUGGAGGGCACCGACGCCCGGACCAGACCUUCUGUGACGGCUCUGCGGUAAAGCAUG